UUAUCCGGAUUUACUGGGUGUAAAGGGAGCGUAGACGGUAUGGCAAGUCUGAAGUGAAAUGCGGGGGCUUAACCCCUGAACUGCUUUGGAAACUGUCGCACUAGAGUGCAGGAGAGGUAAGUGGAAUUCCUAGUGUAGCGGUGAAAUGCGUAGAUAUUAGGAGGAACACCAGUGGCGAAGGCGGCUUACUGGACUGUAACUGACGUUGAGGCUCGAAAGCGUGGGGAGCAAACAGGAUUAGAUACCCUGGUAGUCCACGCCGUAAACGAUGAUUACUAGGUGUCGGUGA
rnacentral:rRNA from 1 species